rnacentral:lncRNA from 1 species
UUAGUAAAUGGUGGAAUAAUAGCACCUGAAGAAAGAGAACCUAGGAAACCUAAAGCGAAAGUUGUUACAAAAUCUGUUCCAGAGAUCGAGAAUUUGCACGUUAACUCAACUUUCAAGGAAUAUUUUCCUCAGCCAGCUGUUGUUUUUGAUAAAGCAUCUAAUCAACAAAUUCUUCAAGGUCCCCUGGCUUCAUCAGCAUAUACACCAAUCAUUUCCAAUACUAUUUGUAACACUUUUCCUGAAGGCAUACCAAUCUGGGCUUUGGAGAUUGUCUCCCAGCUAAAAAAAAAGAAAAAUAUAUACUUCUAGCUCAUCUUAUAGGUCAAUAUAAAUAGGUAAAUUUUGGCUGUAGCCAAAUAACACAUUUUAAAUAAUAACUGUCAAGUAAAAAAUCUAUCAAGUGUUAAUAUUUUUAAAAGUUCCAAA